AAUUCAUCGACAUAUUUAACCCAAAAUCGGGCUUGAGCUCUAUCAUAAGGAUCAGCAGGAAGCAAUGUGUUUUGUGGCCAUAUCUCAUCAAUGUAUUCAACAAUGAUCAUUGACUCGCAUAUGGGUUUUCCAUCAUGAACCAACACUGGAGUCUUCUUGUGUAUUGGGUUAUAUUGAAGAAGCAGAGGACUUUUAUUGAAACGAUCUUCCUCUAUGUUCUCAUAUGGUAUACCCUUUAGAUUCAAGGUCCAUACUACCCUCAAAGUAUAAGGACUAUACCAAAAUCCGUGUAGUUUCACCUCUGCCAUCCUAGCUUGUGCUGUGUUAUCCUAAACCCACACCAGUCCUUUUAUAGAUGGUGAUCCACCCAUGACCCAUGGAGUUAUUUGGCCUUGUCAACUAGUCAAAUUCAAAACAAAAUAGAAUUUGUAUUGCUAUAUUUUUUUUUUUUUUGACGUUCUGUAUUGCUAUCCCUAACAAAUUAAUAGUCAGACUUAACAAGCACCAUAUGACGUUGCAUUUUUUAUUUUAUUUUUAUAAUUUUUUUGGGACGGAUUUAUGAAUAAAAUAGUUAAAAAAAACUAUCUACUUAUCAUUAUAUUAAAAAGACAUUAAAUUAUUUAAUUCUCUAAAAAAAAAAAAUUAAAGUUAUUUAAUAGAAAAAGAAAUAAUCGAUAUGUCCUUUAUUUGCUUAAUUUCUCUUUAUAAAUAUAAAAAACCUUAUAAGAAGAUUUCCUUCAAUCUUCGUCAAUGUUUUAAUGGGUGCAUGGUCUUCCACACAAAUGUUUCUUUUUUUUCCCGUCAGCAUUAUUUUUUUUUUUUGGCAACACUAUUUUUUUUUUAUAGAUAGACGAAAUUACAAAACCAUUAUAAAUUCACACACACAAAUGAAGGUAUCGGGGUUCGAACUCCGAUCAUAACAUCCGCCUAACAAUUUCGGCAUUUUUCUAGUUGAACUAAGGCUUCUGGAUGCAACACUAUAUUAUUAUUUAUUGAGUAAAAAGAAAACAAGCAUUAUUUUUUGUAUAUUCAGAAUCGGUGUUGUAAGUGCUUGCAUCACUAACAGAUAAAUACGCAUGUGUACGCACUAUUCGGUGUACGUGAGUUUGUCCUUUAUGAUAGUAGUAAUAUGGGACAUGCUAACGAAUGUCAUAAUGACAUUUGUUAAGAAUUUCAAAAUGAAAAUAAUUUUAAAUUCUAUAAAGACAAAAUUAUUUUUUGAUUUUAAAUAUAGUAUUGAAUGCACUAUUCUCUAAACAAAAUUUAUUUUUAGACUUUUUAACUAGUAUUUAAGAGCAUCUUGCAUUGGUAGUAAAGUACAGGAUCUUUAAAUGAGUUCUACGUGUAGAUGUCAUUUAUUUAUAAUUUUUAAAUAAAAAUAACUAUUAAGAAUUCAAUAACUUCAAUGGUAUUAAACUAAAAAUAGUCCUUAAAUAGGUGCACUAAUAUGUAUUUUAACAUGUGCAGUUAGAAAAUAAAUAAAAAGAAAUUGAAAAGAUAAAUAAUCACAUGAAUUUGAGAUGGUGAAGCCAACUUUUAUAUAUUUUAUUUCCUAUUUUAAUCGUGAGAUCCGUCACUUGCUAAAGAGAGAGUUCUUAUAUAGUUGUCGGUAAUUAAUAAGUACUCACUUUUUUCUUCAUGAAACGGGAGUUCUUAAUUAGCUGAAGUCCUUAUUAAAUAAAUGAUUCUAUAUUGAAGAUGAUCUAAGAACAUUUGUUAGCAUUUUCUAUAAAAAAAAAAAAAAAAUCUUUUAUGGUAGUAUUGGUUUUAAGGGAGGGAUAUUAGGCCCUCCACGGUAUUGUUUAAAAAAAAAAAGGUCUUAUCAAAAAAUAAAAAUUAAAGAAAUAAAAAAAUGUAUAUGUUGUAUAGAAAAUCAUAUAUUUAUUAUUUUGACCAAUUUAAACUUAUAUUUUUAAGAUAAAAUAUUCCUUUAUGGAUUUUUUAAGCAAUAUCUUUAGAGUAUUUGUUAACUUGAUAUUGUUUGAUUUAUCGUUUUCAAUUAAAGUGUAAAUAUGUAUCUGAGUGUAGUCCGUAUAGAAACUUAAGCGUGCGUAUCAUUAAUUUUACUUUUAGAUGAGUCAAAUUAAUGUUGACUUGUUAAGAUGUUUUCCAGUAGAAUUGUGCAAUAGUAUCUACCAACAACAAAAAAAAAAAAGAAUUGUGCAAUAGAAAUAAGAUUAAAAAGAGAAUUAAAUUACUCUGUAAUUGGAGCCAACUUUGUUACUCUAGGUUUACUCAAAUGAUUUCUUGCCUUUAUCCAUGUCUUUUGUUCAUUGCAUGUAGUGAGAAUAAUGCUACAACUUAGGUAAAUUUUGGGUUAAGAUCCUCUUCAUUUAUGUGUUUCUUCAUUUCUUUAAUUUGGAGAGAUAAAAGACACAUAAAAUCUUGAAAAAAAGUAAAAUAUAACUAAUGAUGGUGGAACCCACUUAGUGGUGGGACCCACCAUCUAUUUUUGUGUCUAUCUCUCCAAUUUGCAAAACUCCAUUUAUUUUGCCAAAUGGAGAGGAUCUUCGCCCGUAAAUUCUACGGAUAAGGUCUAGCAUUAACGGUAAGGUACUGCCGGUUGGAAGGGUUAAAUGCACGUUUAUUGUGAAGUUGGAAUUUCUAGUUUCUCAUUCCACCACUAAACACUGUAUUAGGAUGUGGUUUUUCCAGCUGCCGUGGAUUUAAAACUCUAAACCAAACACACAUAGGUGAGUUACAAAAGGAUGGCUCUAGAUUUAUUCCAUGGUGACUAGGUAAGGUUGUAAAAAUUCUUCUUUUUGAUCUAUUCAAAAAGAGUUAUGUUAUUUGAACAUCUAUUUAGAUGAUAACUUUUGAUAUAACCAAAAUUUUACAAAACAAUAGAGAGAAUAAGUAAAAUCAUAAUGUGAGUAUGAGAGAGAAAAUUAUCACAAAAAUUAUGAAAAAAAGUGUUGUUCAAAUAUCAUUUCUCAUUCAGAAAAUGUCAUUCAGCCACUUGGACUUGACUAGUAUUAAGGAUGCACUUCCUCCGUUUUUAAAUAUAAGCAAAUUUUACUUUAUAGGUUCAUUCAAUUAAUGAUGUACAAUAUGUGGUUUAUAACAUGAACUACAUACAUCAUUAAUUGAAUGAAUCUAAAAAGUAAAAUUUGUUUAUAUUUAAAAACGGAGGGAGUAUAAUGAAUCCAGACCCACUCCAACACAUUUAAACCGGUAUCCAUUUGUGUGCCACGGUUGGACCUCAACAUCAUUUUUAAUGUUAUCUUUUGAGUUAUUAGAGGAAGUCCCAUUGGGGCAUAGUAAUGCAAGGCAUUGUGGCUGUUCAUGAACACGAGACAAAGUAUCGGCCACUCGAUUUUUUGAACCCCAGAUUUAUAGAUGAUCUUAUGAGAGUACCCCAAUAACUUGGUCAAUUAGAUUUAUUGCUCCGGAGUUUGGAUUACUUGGGUCAUGAGUUCGCAAACUGUGUUGAUCUGUAUGGAUCACGAGUUUGCAGCCUAAUAGGUAAGACCUCCAUUUCUUAACACUACCAAUGUGAUGAGUGAUGACACAUAAUUCCUUAAUAUAAGUGGAUGCAUUUAGCAUCUUUUGGUAAAAUUUUAUGUUGUAAUCUAAGAUUCAAAAUUUGAACCGAAAAACGAAUCGACAAGACUUCUAAGUCGUGACCUAAACUGUUGUUCAACCAGAUAAUUGAUAAAUGAAUAAAUAAUUUUUUUUAAUUUGAUAAUUAAAUGUAGAAGGACAAGUUAAAGCUACUAUUAAACUUGUUUAAAGUUAAAGCAGCUAUUAUUAACAUAAAAAAUACACAUUACAAGAUGACCCACGAAGAUACAAAUACUUUAUCAUGAGACGACAUACGUCGUCGUUGGUGUUUUAAAAUUUUAUUAAGUAUUAAUUUAUGGUGGACGCUUCAUAUUAGAAUUUUUCAUGUUUCACAUAUAAAUUCAUAAAAGUCAUAGUUUUCUUAAGAAGAUGCCAUUAUUUUUUCAAUUAGAGGCCUUACAUAAGCCACAAACUUCUCUUGCUCAGGGGUGUUUUCUUUGAUGAUUGGAACAUCCUUGAAAUUAUUAAACCAUAAAUGCAAACGGGGGAAUCUCUCACUUUUUAAGAUCUUCACUUCAAACAUAUCUUCUUGAACCUCAAUAAAUUUGACAAAGGAUCCAAGAGCUAUGUCUACAAUGUUAAUGGUUUCUCCCCCAUAGAACUUAUUAUGAUCAUCCAAGCACUGGUCCUCAACAACUUUGAGUCGCUCCGAUAAAUUCUCCCUGGACUUUUCUCGUUCUUCACCUUUAAUUAUGCUUCGAUGGAACGCCCGAAUUGCCGAAAACUUCAAGUAUUGAUCCCAAUAUUAUUGUUAGUUUGAAUCAAGAUAGAAGGUAAAAUAUAAAGUUUUUUUUUUUGAAGCAGGUAAAAUAUAUUUGUUAUAGUCCAAUGAUUUUCUAUAGUAAGGGAGAGGUAAAACAAAUUUUAAUAUAUGAGAUUUUUUUUGUGCAUAUGAGACCUUUUUGUUUAUUAAAUCUAAUGAAAAAUAACUUUUUGUUUGUGCUUAAAAUGAAGGUUUUAGAAGUCUUACUCUUGAUUGGUCUUGAAUAUAGUUAUAAAUAGGCAAAACUACAACAUGAAUCCUUUAACUCAAUUUAAAGUUUUUUUUUUAGCAACUCAGUCUAAAGGUUUAAAAAGGUCGUUUAUAUGUUUUUUUCCAUGUCAAGCUGGUCAUUUAUGUUCAAAAACUUCAUUGGUAUUUAACCAAACUUCAUUUUUGAUAUAUGUAUGUUAUCAAAACUUUUACGAAACCAUUCAAAGAGAUUAAUUACAUCUUCAUUUUAUCAAUACAACAUCUAAAAUACAUCAUAACGGCUACUACAAUAUCAAAAUUAGCAUGAUAUAUUUUAAUUUUUUAUCCAAGAUUGUGAUCUUGUUAUCAACUAGAGUCCAAUUUUAGUGUUGAGUGUGGAACAUUCUUAAUAGUAUAUAUUCAAAGACCAUGUAGACAAUGGUAAAUAAGUGGAAUAAGAAUGAAAGUUAAGUCACUAGUGUAAGUAUUUUUAAAGAUAAAUGACUAAUUUGAUAUGGAAAAAGAAAAAUGAUUUGUUUGGAACUUUAAAUUAAGUUAAAUGACUUAUGGGUAGAUUUGCAUAGAAAACGAGUGGAACAUGUAUUGUGCAAGUGCAGUUUCAUGAUCACGAUGAAAAGGCUAGAAAUAAAAAAUAAAAAAAAGUAUACAAAUAUGAUGAUUAGGUUUUGAAAUUUGUUACCAUAUCAUCAAUAUAUUUAACCCAAAAUCGGGCUUGAGCUCUAGCAUAAGGAUCAGCAGGAAGCAAUGAAUUUUGUGGCCAUAUCUCAUCAAUGUAUUCAACAAUAAUCAUGGACUCACAUAUGGGUUUUCCAUCAUGAACCAGCACUGGAGUUUUUUUGUGUAUUGGGUUAUAUUGAAGAAGUUGAGGAGUCCUAUUGAAGUGAUCUUCUUCUAUACUAUCAUACGGUAUACCCUUCAGAUUUAGGGUCCAUACCACCCUUAAAGUGAAAGGACUAUACCAAGAUCCAUGUAGUUUUAUCUCUGCCAUCUUAAUUAGCCUGUGCAUGUUUUCCUAAAUGAAACACUAACCCUUUUUAAUAGGGUCAUCCAUGGAGCCAUUUGGCUUGGUCAACUAUUCAAAUUAAAAAGUAAAAUAGAAUACGUGUUACUAUCGCUUUGAUUUUUUACUCCAAUCCAUCGCUAUCAUUAACAAAUAUAACAAUUUGAAUAUGAAGUUGUGGAUUUAAUUAAGAUGAGAAAAGACAAAAUUGUGAAAAGAAAACAAAAUAUGACGAAUUUUUUCUAUAAAAUGCAUGUUGUUGGCAUUUUUUUAAUAUAUAUAUCAUGUUGGUCUUAAGUCAAUAUUCAUGACCACCAAACCAACCCUUGGUUUUAUAUAUUAAACCUUAUUAACUUUUUGGUAAUAAUAAUGUUGUGUGUGUCGUAUCCCCUAAAAAAUAAAUUGGUGUCGUAAGUGCUUGCAUCACUAACGGGAAAAAUAUUGUAUUAGAAAGAAAAAAACGGAUGAAAAAGAUUGUGUACAUGAUAGAAUUGUUUAUUUUUUCUUUCAUUUUUUUUUGGAUAAUAUGAUAGAAUUGUUUUAUUCGCCGUUUUCAACAUAAUUGCGAAAAACAUUUAAUUUAUAGACAUUUUGACAAAAAAUUUGACAUCGGUGAUGGUGUAAACUUUUUGUGUUAGCUAUUUGGCUCUUAUGAGAAAUAGAUAUGAUAAUUUAAAGUUGAUCAAAAAAUAAAUAAAGUUUGAUUAAAAAUUGUUUUAUUCGAGUUCAUCUUGUGCUUUUAAAGGACAACGUUAAUGAAUUAAGAGCUAUCAUGUGCCCUAUAAAUUAAAUGUAGAAAUACUUUGUUGGAAUUGGUACAUUAAAUUUAAUUUUUAAAUUUUCAAUUAAUUGAAUGCAUAAAAUUUAAAAGAAUGUUUUCUUUUGAGAUUCACACUUGUAGAAUCAACAAUUUUUUUUCUUGUUUCGGAUUUCAUCCCUAAGAUUCAAGGUCGUUAAUUGAACAAUGACUAUCCUUGCUCAUAAUAGAAACAACAACAAAGUUGUUAUUCUCCAGAAGUGCUUCAAGAAAUGUUUUGAUGAGAUACAAUGUACUCUCUCCAUCCUAAAUUAAGUCGUUUUAUAAAACAAUGAAACAUUAAUGUUUUUUUUUUUUAUUAUAACAUUAAUUAUUUAUUACUCUAUCUUUUUUCAAUUCUUUUAUUUAUUUUUUUCAUACCAUUUAAUAAGGACAAUUUUGUAAAAUAAUUUAUAAUAUGUUUUUAUCUUACUAAAUUAAUACAGUUUUUAAUAUGUGUGAAAAAGCACCAAAACGUCGUAUAAUUUAGGAAGGAUGGAGUAGAUUGCAAUCACCAAUGGAAAUUAAGUCGAUUCGUUGUUUGCACAAACACUAAUAAUGAACUUUUCGAUGUUGCUUCAACUUCACUGAGAUUUCACUUAUCAAAUUGUAGCUAUCUUGCCUUAGUAAUGAGUAAGGUAUGGAAAUAACCACUCGAAAACUUUGGCAAGAAGUUUCUAUGCGAUUGUGGAUAUAACCACUAAGUUCCUAGAUAGUUAGAAUGUCAAUUGUCAAAGACAACUAUUACACACUAAGCACCGAGAUGAGAAAAAUAACACUUAGAGAUUGAUAACUUGCAAUGCAAGCAAUCUCACCUAUACUAUUAGAUUGCACUUUCAGCUAUUGUGUAGUACAACUAGAUUAGUGUAGUACAUUUAGUUUGCCUAUAUAUACUGAUUGUAACUCUCUCAUUUGUUGAUAAUGAAGAAUCAUUUCAGUUUUCUAUUGUUUCAUAAUAUGGUAUCAGAGCACUCUCUUUGAGAGUAGUUCUGAUCCUAACCGUUUUUCUCUUCUCUUUUCCGCUGCAAUUCAUCGUCUUCUUCUCUUUUCUGGUUGAAUUUCUUGCAUUUUCUGCAAAUUCACCAUUGAUUACUCUAUUUUCUUCUUGUUUUCUGGUUGAAUUUCUUGCAUUUUCUGCAAAUUCACCAUUGAUUACUCUGUUUUCUUCUUGUUUUCUUCAUUAUCUUGAGCUUUUCAUCUUCAACAAUGGUGCGUAAUCAAAAUACUCAGCAGAACACCGAUUCAGUGUUCUACGUUCAUCCUAGCGAAGGUCCAAACUCCGUUGUUGUUACUCCACUUCUCACUGGAUCAAAUUACUUAGCUUGGAGUAGAUCGAUGCAACGUGCACUUGGCGCGAAAAAUAAGCUUGUUUUUAUCAAUGGUUAUGUGCCUAUACCUGAUCUUGAAGAUUUGAAUCGUGAUGCACGAAACGCUGCAUCUUAUUCACUCGUGGUUGAUUAACUCCGUUUCUCCUCAAAUUGCUCAAACUUUAGUUUUUCAUGAGCACGCCAUUGACGUUUGGGAAGAACUCAAAGAACACUUUGCAAAGGUUGAUAGAAUUCGCAUAGCUUCUUUAUGUUCUUCCAUCAACAAUUUGAAGCAAGGAUCUAAAACUGUUUUGGAAUAUUUCACUGAGAUGAAAAUUUUAUGGGAAGAGCUUAACUCUCAUCGCCCAAUGCCUAAUUGCACUUGUCCUUUUCCAUGCCGGUGUGAAGCUGUGAGAUCUGCAAGAGCACAUCAUAUGGAGGAUCAAGUGAUUCAAUUUCUGACUGGAUUGAAUGAUAAUUUCAAUGUGAUUAAAUCUCAAGUUCUCCUUCUAGAUCCUUUACCUUCUAUCAACAAGGUAUAUUCAUUGGUUGUACAAGAAGAGAGUAACAAUUGCACACUUUCUCUUCCUUCUGUAUCAGAAGAUUCUAGCAUUCUUCUUAAUGCUACUGAUUCUAAGAAGCAAUAUGGACAUGGUAAAUCUUUUGCUGGCUCAAAGAAUAAUUCUAGAUUUUGUACAUUCUGCAAACGUACAAACCACACUGUGGAAUUUUGCUAUCAACAGCAUGGAUGUCCUAAUUCAUACAAAUCCACUUCUUCAGCAAAUGCCACAAAUGCUUCUUCUUCUGGUACUGCAGAUAUUCAGCCUGUGAAUUCUGCAAUUGACAAUCCUCCUAUUACUGGUUUGACUCAAGAACAUUACAAUCAUCUUGUAUCUCUUCUUCAACAAUCACAAUUGCUUGCUUCAGGCCCUACCUCUUCUCCACCUACUUCCAACCAUAUUACUUCUGCUACAAGUUUCCCUUCUUCAUUUGUACCUCAUACUUCUACUCCUCCCUCAGGUAUAUCCACUAUAUUUUCGUGUGCUUUAUCUUAUUCAUCCCAUGAUUGGUUACUUGACUCUGGUGCUAAUGAGCACAUUUGUUCAUCAUUACACUAUUUUACCUCUUAUCAUCCUAUCAAACAUGUUCUUGUUCAUUUACCUAAUAAAACCACUGUUACUAUACACCAUGAUGGCACUGUUGUAUUUUCUCCACAUUUUCAUAUCACAAAUGUCUUAUAUUCUCCACAUUUUAAAGUUAAUCUGAUUUCAAUUGCCAAAAUUAUCAGUAGUUUGAAUUGUUAUGUCAAGUUUUUAUCUGACAAAUGCAUUAUACAGGAUCUGUUUACUAACAAGAUGAUUGGUUUGGCUGAUCCUUAUGGUGGUUUAUACAAAUUGAGGAUUUCUCCUUCAGCUUUUGCUUUUAAUUCUUCUGUUUCUCAUGUUCCUCAUUGUAAUAUUUCCAUAAAUAAAGAUUCUCAGUCUUUUGUUCCCAGUUCUUUUGUUCCUCAUUGUCAUAUGCUAAUAUUUCUUAUUCUCAUUCCUGUUUUGCUAUGUCCCUUCAUACAUAUACUGAGCCCAAAACCUUCACUGAGGCAAACAAGCAUGAUUGUUUGAAGAAAGCUAUGCAAGACGAGAUUAAUGCCUUGACUAAAACUAGUACUUGGAAGAUUUUUGAUCUUCCACCCAUAGGCUGCAGGUGGAUUUACAAAGUGAAACAUCAUGCUAAUGGCUCCAUAGAAAAAUAUAAGGCUAGAUUGGUUGCCAAGGGAUAUAACCAAAUUGAAGGUUUGGACUAUUUUGAAACAUAUUCUCCUGUUGCCAAGCUCACCACAGUCAAAAUUGUUCUUGCUUUGGCAUCUAUGCAUAACUGGCAUCUUCAUCAACUUGAUGUCAAUAAUGCAUUUCUGCAUGGAGACUUACAAGAAGAUGUUUACAUGAUUAUCCCUCCUGGUGUUUCACAUUCUAAUCCCAAUCAAGUGUGUAAAUUGAACAAGUCACUUUAUGGAUUGAAACAAUCAAGCAGGAAAUGGUAUGAGAAAUUAACCUCAUUACUACUUCUCCAUGAUUACAAACAGGCUUCCUCAGACCAUUCACUCUUUCUUAAAACCACUUCAUCUUCAUUCACUAUUUUGCUGUUUUAUGUUGAUGAUGUGAUCUUGGCUGGGAACUCUUUAGAGGAAUUCACUUCAAUCAAGCAGAUUCUUGAUAAUACUUUUUAAAUUAAAGAUUUGGGCAUUCUGAAAUACUUUCUUGGUAUUGAAGUUGCUCACUCUUCAUCUGGAAUUUCUCUUUGUCAGAGAAAAUAUUGCUUAGAUCUCCUUGAAGAUUCAGGAUUCCUCAACUCUAAGCCUAUUAGUACACCUUCUGACCCUAUUAUCAAACUUCACAAUGAUGGUUCAGAUCCUUAUACUGAUAUACCUGCUUAUAGGAGAUUGAUUGGUAGAUUACUGUACGUCAACACCACCAGGCUAGAUAUUACUUUCAUUACUCGGCAGCUGAGUCAAUUCCUCAGCAAUCCUACUCAAACUCAUUUCACUGCUGCUACAAGAGUAUUAAGAUACUUGAAAGGUUCUCCUGAACGAGGUAUCUUCUUCCCUAGAGAUGCUCACCUUCAAUUACAAGGCUUUUCAGAUGCAGACUGGGAAGGUUGCUGGGAUACCAGAAGAUCCAUCUCUGGUCAGUGUUUCUUCUUAGGCAACUCACUCAUUUCAUGGAUGACAAAGAAACAAUUGAUUGUCAACAAGUCUUCCUCUGAAGCAGAAUAUAGAGCACUGACAGCUGCAUCAUGUCAACUGCAAUGGAUUCUCUAUGUCCUUCAUGAUUUGAAGAUUAAAUGCACCAAAACUCCAGUCAUAUACUGUGACAAUCAAAGUGCACUUCAUAUAGCUGCUAAUCCUGUGUUUCAUGAACGCACAAAACACUUAGAGAUUGAUUGCCAUAUUAUACGUGAAAAACUUCAGGCCAACAUUCUCAAAUUUCUGCCAAUCUCCUCCAAAGAGCAAAUUGUUAACUUCUUCACUAAAGCUCUUCUUCCUCAACCAUUCAACAAUCUAUUGUCCAAGUUGGAGAUGAUAGACAUAUAUCACCCUCCAACUUGUGGGGGGCUAUUAGACACUAAGCACACAGAUGAGAAUAAUAACACUUAGAGAUUGAUAACUUGCAAUGCAAGCAACCUCACCUAUACUAUUAGAUUGUACUUUCAGCUAUUGUGUAGUACAACUAGAUUAGUGUAGUACAUUUAGUUUACCUAUAUAUACUGAUUGUAACUCUCUCAUUUUUGUUGAUAAUGAAGAAUCAUUUCAAUUUUCUAUUGUUUCAUAAUAACAACAUUAACCAAUAAUUGAGUUGAAGCUGGGUUUAAGUUCCAGUCUAUAAAAUAUCUCUAACAAGGUUUACCUUUUAAGAUCUUGUGCUCAUAGCAAAACUUGUUAAAUAUGAUGUAUUCAAAUUAACCACCAUUGUCGGUUCUAUGUUUUUUAUUCUUCAACCCUGUCUCAUUUUCUACUAUGGCUUUCCACAUCUUGAAAGACUCAAAUACUGCAAACUUAUGUUUAAGAAAGUGCACACAUACCAUAUAUUGGUCUCUCGAGAUUUCACAAUUGCUUGAUGAGAUUUUAAGACACAUACAACAAUAUUAAAAGAAAUGAAAUCCUUGAAACAUAAAGCAUAUUUUAUUAACAUCAAGAAAUACACACGACAAUCAAGCCAUGAUUUUCUCAAGAAGAUGUCUUGAUUGCCUUGAUUUUUUUAAUUAGAAGAUUAUGAAAAGCCACCAACUUCUCUUGAUCAGGGGUGUUUUCUUUGAUGACUGGAAAAUCCUUGAAAUUAUUAAACCAUAAAUGCAAUCGAGGGAACCUUUCACUUUGCAAGAUUUUCUCUCCAAAUAUAUCUUCCUGAACUUCAAUAAAUUUCACAAAAGAUCCAAGAGUUAUGUCUACAAUGCUAAUGGUGUCUCCCCCAUAGAAUUUCUUCUGAUCAUCCAAACACUGAUCCUCAACAACCCUGAGUCUCGCCCAUAAAUUCUCUUUAGCCUUCUCUCGCUCUUCACAACUUAUGCUAUGGCGGAAUGCCUCAAUUGCCGAAAUCUUGAAUUAUUGAUCAAAAUAGAGUUGUUAGUUUGAAUCAUGAUGGUAUCAUUAGAGCAUAUAAGUUUUGAAAAUGUCAUUUUUUUCCCUUUGUAUCAAGUUGGUCAUUUAUGUAUAAAAAUAUAUCAACAAUAUUAGACCAAACUACUUUUAACCUAUGUUUGUUAUCAAAAUUUUAUUUAACCAUUCAUCAAGGUAAAUUAUAUCUUCAAUUCAUCAAGAUAAUAUUUAAAUUACAUCAUAUACUAACCAUUGAAAUAUCUAAUUCAUCAAAGUUAGCAUGAUCAUUUUUAAAUUUUAUCUAAAAUUGUCAUCUUGCAGUCAAAAGAGAGUCUUAUUUUAGUGUUGAGUGUGAAACGUUCUUAAUUCUUAAUAGUAUACGAUUACACAAUGACAACAAGAAUGGACUAAGAAUGAAAGUUUAGUCAAAGAUGUAAACAAUUAGUAGAGAUAAAUGGGUAAUUUGACUAAGUUUUUCUUUUGAAAAAACUAAUUUGACCAAGUUAAAGUGCCUUUAGUUUAGUUUUUCCUAUAAUCAAAUGAUCACGAUGGAAAGGCUUGAAAUGAAAAGUAAAAAAAAAAUAUACAAAUAUGCUGAUUAAGUUUUGAAAAAUUUACCAUGCCAUCAACAUAUUUAACCCAAAAUCGGGCUUGAGCUUUGUCAUAGGGAUGAGAAGGAAGCAAUGAGUUGUGUGGCCAUAUCUCAUCAAUGUAUUCAACAAUGAUCAUAGACUCACAUAUUGGUUUUUCAUCGUGAAUCAGCACUGGAGUAUUCUUGCGUACGGGGUUAUAGUGAAGAAGUUGAGAGCUCUUAUUGAAACGAUCUUCCUCUAUGUUCUCAUAUGGUAUACCUUUCAAAUUUAGGGUCCAUACAACCCUUAAAGUAAAAGGACUAUACCAAAAUCCAUGUAGUUUCACCUCUGCCAUUCUCCUAAGCUUGUGUUUUCCCAAUCCAACAGUAACCCCUUUUAUAUGUCGUGAUCAAUCAAAGAGUCAUAUGAGAACACUCGUUAGCAAAACCAAAUACAUACAUAAACAUCAAUGUUAUUCACCAAAAUAAGAGGGAAAAAACAGUGCUAUAGUAUACGACAAUAUGUACCAACCAAUUUUAAAAUCUGUCCUGGAUGACAAAUUAAUGUCGUGACAAUUCUGUCCUUAUAAGAAGAUUCCUUCCAAACAAUUGUUUCUUUUUCUGCCUCACCAGCAUUAUUAUUGUUUCUUUUUUAUAAGAAGCAUUAUUAUUUUUUGUAUUCAUUAAGUAACAUGUCUAAGGUGAGUACCGAAUGAUAUUUAUGUCUACAUGUAGGUAACACCGCACAUUUUAACUUGAAGAGCAUCCCUGAGAAAAGCAUCAGACGUUCAAAUCUAACAUGCGUGGAUACUCAAGAUAGUGAGUAGAAUUGUUGCUCGGGAGUUUGGAUGACUUGGUGAGUUAAGAUCCUUUUUAUUUCUUAAAAUAAAUGUCAAUAUCCAUUAUUAUAGUUUUAAUUACAUAUUUAUACAUCAAAACUAUAAUAAUGGAUAUUGUCAUUUAUUUUAGAAAAUGGAGAUGAUAUCUACUCUAACUUUACGCAAACUGCCUCAAGUAUUGAUCACGAAAUUACAGCCCAAGAUACAAAGCCUCCAUUUCUUAACCAUCGAGUUGAUGACACAUGAUUCCCUAACAUAAGUGGAUGCACUUGGCAUCUUUUGGAAGAAAACAAAGUUGUAAUCAAUGCUUUACAAACUGAACCAGCGAGACCUCCAAAGUUGUAAUCAAUGUUUAACAAAUGAAUAAAUAGAUUUUUUAUAUGUUAGAUCCUGAUACUUUUUACACCAAUAUUUUUAAAGAUCCGAUACUUUUUUGGCGUAAAUGCAUUUUUUAUCCCUCAUUUAAAAAAAUAAAAAUAAACGAUUGAUCUCCCCAUUUUAAAAACCUGAUUUUUGGUCUUGCAAUAUAACUUUUUUUCUUCUUUUAAAUUUUGAUCACUCAUCUCGUUUUUGGAUAUUUUUUAUGAUGUAACAUAUUCAUUCAUAAACUCUCCAUCUUAUUUUUUACAAAUUAGGAUUUUUUUUUUUAUUUUUUUUUUACUAUUGAGUUUUUUAUAAUUUUGAAUGAGAUGAAAGAAGAAAAAAAAAUCAUCUAGAGGAUUAAAAAACUGAGUUUUAUUAUUAUUUUUCUAAAUAAUAAAUGAAGACCAAAACUUUAUUAUUUUUUUCUAAAACUAUGGGGACGAAAAAAAUACAUUUAAACUGACUAAUUUUUAUAUCAAUGGUUUUUAAGCUCAAUACUUCCAAUCACAUAAGUUUAUCUGUAAUGUCACUUAUAUAGAAUAUUUUGGUCCCGUAUACACAACAAACAUUCUUAUUUAAUCUCUUACUAUUUAUCAUUAAUAAUAUUGUAGAUUUCUAAUUUCUCUAUACAAACAUGAUGACACUUCGUCAUAUCAAGUAUUAAUUAAUCUAUCUUAGAAGUUGUCUUACAUUCAUUUUAACAAGUUUUUGUAUAUUUUAGUUGAGUUUUGUAAUAAUUCAAAUGAAGGUUCACGAAAUGAUGUAUCAAGUGAUCUUUUGGGGUAUAUUCACCAGGGACGUUUCAGUGAGGAGAAAUGAGACAAGGAAUACAGAAAAUUAUAGGAUCCAAUUACGUCUUUAUGCGCAAUGCACGCAAGGUUUUGCGCACUGCGCAUUAUCAUUUCAAUAAAUUGUGGUGACCGCGCACCUAUAAAUAGAUGCAACCUUUUCAUCCAAAAACACUUUUUUUAUUACAACCGGAAGCUGAGGAAAAUGAUUCGAGUAGCCAAAAAUAUCCCAGAGACAAUGAUUCAUUAUAUGGUGAUCAUAUAUUCAAGUAAUACUCUUCAUAAGUUAUGUUUAUGUUUAGUUUUAUUAUGAGUAGAGUAGCUACUUUUUUAGGUUAGUCAUGUAGAAAAUCAUCUCUAUAGUUACUUCAACCAUAAUCCAUUGAGUACAUAUGAAUACAAUUAAAUUGCUAAGUUUUAUUCGGUUAAUAUUUGAUAUUAAUGUUUUUAUGCGUUUACGAAUGUUUAUAAAUCAAUCGAGGUCGUGAAUGACUAUUAACUCUAACUUUUGAGACUUUGAUAUAAUAUUAAUUGUUUGAUAUGUAAUAGCUUUAAAAAUAUUAUACUACCACCUUUGUGACAAACAUUAGAGGGAUGUGAUCGGCGAUGAGAGUUAUGAUUCAAGACAUUGGUCUUAACUAUUUUGUUAAAGCCUCUUGAAAUUAAGUAAGCAGUUGUAGGCUUUGGACACAGUUACCAAUUAGCGAAAGAGAAGUAAAUCGAACAUUAUCUGAUCGUUCUUUUAUCUGUAAUUAUUUAGUUGUGAAUCAAAUUAUGUCUUAGGAAUCCCCCAAUUUACACAUUCUGUUUUAAAUUGUUGUUGUUAAGUAGAAAUUUCAUAAUUCCUAUAGAUAGGAACUUAUAAAUAUUAUUACUCGAUGACAUUUUAAUACACUUUCCAUAUUUCUUUUUGAGUGUUGUUUUUUGGACAUGUGUACUAUUCACAUAAUCUACUAUUAUCAUGUUUUUUCAUUAAUAUAUAACGAAAAUAUUUGCGUAUAAGAUGUUCAAAUUGUCUCGAUAAAUAUUUUUAAAUUAUCAACUUUCUUUUUGUAAUUGUUGGCAGUGGCGGAGUUAGAAAUAAUUUUUUUGGAUAGGCCGACUUUUAAUAUGUGCAAAUUUAUAUGUUCUUAUUAGUUAAUACGAGUGAUUUUUUAUCUUUGGAACAUGAUUUAAACAUGUAUUUUAAGGAUAUGUUUAACAUAGAUAUCAGUUAAUUCUUAAUAUUAUAUAUAUAUAUAUAUAUAUAUAUAUAUAUAUAUAUAUAUAUAUAUAUAUAUAUAUAUGUAUGUAUACUUUUACUGAAAAAAGAAUUGUGCUUUAUUCAAAUAUAUUGUUGGUGAGAGGUAAAACAUUAGAUAUAUAAUUAUUAAAAACAAUAGUAAUUUUUAAUUGAACGUUGUUACCUUGUUAACGAUUGCCCUCGAGACACUCUUUAAGUAUUCUAAAUUAAGUAAUUUUUUUAAAAAAAAUAUCAAACUUUUCAAUUUUCAAUGCACCAAUUACACUAACUUUCAUAAAAGUUUACGAUUUAAGGUCCUUAAUUAGUGCCUCGGGGGUACUCCCUCCGUUUCUAAAUAUAAACAAAUUUUACAUUUUAGGUUCAUUCAAUUAAUGAUGUAUGUAGUCCAUGUUAUAAACCACAUACAUCAUUAAUUAAAUGAAUCUAUAAAGUAAAAUUUGUUUAUAUUUAAAAACGGAGGGAGUAUUAGUUAACAUUUCCCUUUAAAAUAUCAAUUGUCAAAGUUGUUUAUUGGCAUACAUGUGUGAAGUAAUUAACAACAACACUAAAAAAGAAAGAGUAGUUUUAAAACUAAAGUAAAUGCUAAAACAUUAUUAUGAUUUGUAAAUCAUAUAAAAGCAAAAAUGAUAUUUAGCCACCAUUUAUUUUCUUACAUCUAUUCAACACAUCAUAUUUUAUAUGUAUCUCUCUCUUCUUAUCAUCAAUUUAUUAAAUCUAUCACAUUACUCAUUUUUUUCUCAUUAUCUAAAGGUGUAUACAACACACCCAUUCAAAAAGAUAUAUAAAUUGUGUAUAUAUUAAAAUUUUAGACUUAUGAAGUAAUAUCGUGUGUCAAAUACAUUUGUAUGAGAAGAUAACAAAUGCCUUCUCUCUUAAUCAGAAAUUGAGUACAAAUAUAGUUUUAUAGAUUUCCUCUUUUGUGGGAGAGUUUUGUUAUUCAUUUUGAUUCUACCGACUCAAGUAGUAAAAGACAUGAAUCAUUUUAAACUUUAAUUAUUGUUGCAAAAAGACAACACAAAGCAACUAUUAUUAAAAUAAAGUAAUACACAUGACUCAGAUAGAUUACCCCAAAUGCUUUGUACAUCAAUUCAUAGAAGCCAUAAUUUUCUCAAAAAGAUACCAAUAUUUUUUCAAUAAGGCACUUUCCAAAAGCCACCAACUUCUCUUGACCAGGGGUGUUUCCUUUUAUGACUGGAACAUCUUUAAAAUUAUUAAACCAUAAAUGUAAGCGAGGGAACCUCUCACUUUGCAAGACCUUCACUUCAAACAUAUCUUCUUGAAUCUCAAUAAAUUUGACAAAAGAUCCAAGAGCUAUGUCUACAAUGUUAAUGGUGUCUCCCCCAUAUAAUUUCUUCUUAUCAUCCAAACACCAAUCCUCAAUAACUUUGAGUCGCUCCCAUAAAUUUUCUCUAGCCUUUUCUCGCUCUUCACCACUUAUGCUAUUGAGGAACGGUUCAAUUGCCGAAAUCUUCAAGGAUUGAUUUUAAUGUUGUUAUUAGUUUGAAUCAAGAAGAUUGUAUCGUUAGAACAUAUAAGGUGAAUGUUUAUAAGAAACAAGGUAAAAUGAAUAGGCAAAACUACACUACACCAUGCACCAUUUAACUCAAUUUAAAGAUUUGAAAAUGUCAUUUUUGUUUUUCGUGUUAAAGUUGGUUAUUUAUGUUUAGAAACGUUAACACUAUUGAACCAAAAGUUUUAACUAACCAUUCAUCAAGUUAAAUUACAUCUUCAAAUAAUCAAGAUGACAUCUAAAUUACAUCAUAGUGAUUAUUAAAAUUAGAGUGAAACAUUCUUAAUUCUUAGUAGUAUAUCAUUCAAUGAUCUUGUACACAAUGACAAUAAAAGUUUACUAGGAAUGAAAGUUGAGUGAAUGGUGUAAAUAUUUUUAAAUAUAAAUGAUUAAUUUGCAUAUAAAAUGAGCAGAAAAUGUAUUGUGAAAAGAUUAAAAGUAAAAAUAAAUAAAUACAAAUAUGAUGAUUAAGUGUUGGAAAUAUGUACCAAUUCAUCGACAUAUUUAACCCAAAAUCGGGCUUGAGCUCUAUCAUAAGGAUCAGCAGGAAGCAAUGAGUUGUGUGGCCAUAUCUCAUCAAUGUAUUCAACAAUGAUCAUGGACUCACAUAUUGGUUUUCCAUCAUGAAUUAGCACUGGAGUCUUCUUGUAUAUUGGGUUAUAUUGAAGAAGCAGAGGACUUUUAUUGAAGCGAUAUUCCUCUAUGUUCUCAUAUGGUAUACCCUUCAAAUUUAAGGUCCAUACAACCCUUAAAGUAAAAGGACUAUACCAAAAUCCAUGUAGUUUCACCGUCAUUCUGCUAAACUUGUGUUAUC
rnacentral:lncRNA from 1 species